UCGGGCAAGCUAUUUUAACUCCUCUCUACGGAGUAUGAAAUCGUACCAGCUAUAGCCUGUACACUCUAUUAAAUUUGCCUGCGAAGUAAAAUAGCAUGCGUCUGUGUGUGUACCCUGUUUGCUUAUUCCCAUCGUUUUUUCAAGCGGCUUUCUUCUAAAUGAAAUUGGCAAUGGCGGAUAUGAUAGAAGAGCAAGGAAAUAUCGGAAGUGUGAAGGCAAUUUCUAUUUUUAUGCUUCAUGCGCUAGUUUACCCUUUCACUGUUAUUCAAUGGAUGCUAACCCUUAAUGGCUUUUACCAGUGGCAUUGUGUUAUUUCUUUUAACUAAGAAGGGAUGAGCCUUCAAGCAAUUAGUACUACCAGUUUCAAGCUGUUUCACCGAAAUUGCUUAAAUGUCGCUUUCCAAGAACCCAUCAUAGAAAGGACCACAAUUGCGACAUUUAACGCUUCGGUGAUACUGUAAAGAGCAGAAACUCUGAUAAAGCAUGACUGGCACAGCGUACAUGAGUGACAGGUUACUUUAUCUUGUAAGGCAAAUUGGCCUAGGUACCCCACCAUAUGAAGAAAAUUGGUCCAAUUUCUGUAUUGGAUUGCCCACAUGAACCCAUUAUAGAAAGGGCCACAAGUGUGACAUUUUUCAGUGUUGUAAGUUGUAACGCUAUGGUGAUACCGUAAAGAGCAGAAAGUGGUCAAGCAUGACUAGCACAGCGUUCAUGAGUGACAGGUUACUUUAACUUGUCAGGUGAAUUGGCCCAGGAACCUUACUAUAUGAAGAACUUGGUCCAAUUUCUGUAUUGGAUUGACCACAUGGUAGGUUGAACCUUGCACUAUUGUAUUUUAAAGAUUCCUUCAACUUCUGAAGAAAAUUGUAACAGGACUUCUCAAAUGCCUGCGCCAAGAUGAAAGCUUUGGAAACAAGUAUAAACAUCUCUCGAAGUAUGCGAAAUGUUUGACUAGUGCCUCCAGGAAGUGCAAGCUGGAGAUUAAAAGAGAGGGUGUACAUCAACGCAGUUUGCCCGCCAGAAUGCAAAUGCAAGGAGGUUCGAGAGACUAAAAAUUUGGGUAGCGUUGAAUCGAUAUUAAGUCAUCCAAUAAGGUAAAGAUGCUUGGAGUGCUUAUUCCAAAUCGGAGCUUUCCAAUGGACAUGUUGAGUUUCUCUCAAAUAGAUACAUUCCAUUGGGUUCUCCACGUGAAUUAUUUUGUGCAUAAGUUCCACUUUACCAUUUUAAUUUUAAAUUCCAGCAUACCCAAUUCACAGAGAUUAUUAUGCAAACGCCUUUGAGUUGGUUUCCGAGUAAUUGAUUUUUUUGUACUAUUUUGUUGUGGUACCAAUUAUUGGAAAGAUUAGAGAUCAUUGUUUUAUACAAUUAAAUGUAAACACUAUCCAGUUGCCCCUGUACAUGGUGGUCAUAUGCUGGAAGCCUUUUCAAGUUUUAAAGUAACAUGGUUUGGUAGCUGCUAAUGUUUAUGCCCCAAGUAUAUGACAUUAUAACCACCUCCUCUCUUUUUUUUUCAUUUGAUUAAGAGACUUUUCAUAUCCAAGUGGAAUUUCUGGAUCAUGAAAUAUCCCAAUGCAUUUUCAUAUCCUGUAUAUUUACGAUCAAAUGUAAUCUCUAUUUAAUUCUGUGAUGAUGAAAAUGUCAUUUAUGAGAUUCGGAAAUACAUGUUUUUAAACCUUUCUAUGAUGUUGUGCCUCUUUUGCCGUUGAAUGAUUGUGUUCUCUUUGUAUGCUCA